UACGGGGGGGGGCAAGCGUUGUUCGGAAUUACUGGGCGUAAAGGGCUCGUAGGCGGCCAACUAAGUCAGACGUGAAAUCCCCAGGCUUAACCUGGGAACUGCGUCUGAUACUGGAUGGCUUGAAUUCGGGAGAGGGAUGCAGAAUUCCAGGUGUAGCGGUGAAAUGCGUGGAUAUCUGGAGGAAUACCGGUGGCGAAGGCGGCAUCCUGGACCGACAUUGACGCUGAUGAGCGAAAGCUAGGGGAGCAAACGGG
rnacentral:rRNA from 1 species